AUUAGGUUAAGUUAUUAAGGGCGUAUGGUGGAUGCCUUGGCACUAGGAGCCGAUGAAGGACGUGACUAACUGCGAUAUGCUUCG
rnacentral:rRNA from 1 species